rnacentral:lncRNA from 1 species
GUUCCAUUAUUACCAACAGAAUAGAAACCCUUGUUCGAAAAUAAUCGACUCAACAAGAGUGGUCCAUAGGAUAGUCAUGUUAUAGUCUUUUCCAAUGCAAUAAAGUUACGUAGUGUCCAUUUAUCUUUGAUAUAAGGGGUAUUUCCAUGGGUUUGCCUUGGUAUCGUGUUCAUACUAUUGUAUUGAAUGAUCCCUGUCGGUUGCUUUCUGUUCAUAUAAUGCAUACAACUCUGGUUGCUAGUUGGGCCGGUUCGAUGGCUCUGUAUGAAUUAGUAGUUUUUUNUGUUCCAUUAUUACCAACAGAAUAGAAACCCUUGUUCGGAAAUAAUCGACUCAACAAGAGUGGUCCAUAGGAUAGUCAUAUUAUAGUCUUUUCCAAUGCAAUAAAGUUAUGUAGUGUCCAUUUAUCUUUGAUAUAUAUAAGGGGUAUUUCCAUGGGUUUGCCUUGGUAUCGUGUUCAUACCGUUGUAUUGAAUGAUCCCGGUCGGUUGCUUUCUGUUCAUAUAAUGCAUACAGCUCUGGUUGCUGGUUGGGCCGGUUCGAUGGCUCUGUA